GUUUUAAUAAUUUAAUAUAAAAUAUUGGUCUUGUAAACCAAAUAUAAGUUUUUACUUUUAAAACU
rnacentral:tRNA from 1 species